rnacentral:rRNA from 1 species
UACGUAGGGUGCAAGCGUUGUCCGGAAUUAUUGGGCGUAAAGGGCUCGUAGGCGGUCCAUCGCGUCGGGAGUGAAAAGCUGGGGCUUAACCCCAGUCCUGCUUCCGAUACGGGUGGACUAGAGGUAGGUAGGGGAGAACGGAAUUCCUGGUGUAGCGGUGAAAUGCGCAGAUAUCAGGAGGAACACCGGUGGCGAAGGCGGUUCUCUGGGCCGUACCUGACGCUGAGGAGCGAAAGCAUGGGGAGCAAACAGG